rnacentral:ncRNA from 1 species
UUAAAGUUUAAAAGUAGUUUAAAAAUUAAUUAUUAGAUUGUUUUACAUGUAAAUUUUAUUAGAAAUUUUAUGUUCAGUAUUUAAUUUUAAAAACCAAUUAAAAUUGUGAUUAGAAAUUUUAUUAAGUUAAAACAAAUUUUGUGCCAGCAGUAGCGGUUAUACAAAAUUUUCAAAUUAAUUUUAUUUAGUUUAAUUAAAUUUAAAAUUUUAAAUUUAAAAAUUAAUUAAUAAGGUGAAAUUUGUUAUUUAUUUAAGUUAAUUUUAUAUUUUUGAAGUUAAGGAAUUUUGAUUUUAAACUAGGAUUAGAUACCCUAUUAUUCAUUAUUAAUAAAUAACUAAAAUUAUUAUUAGGUAUAUUCUAUAAAAUUAUAAUUUUUGGCGGUAUUUUAUUCUUUUCAGAGGAACCUGUUUCGUAAUCGAUAGUCCACGAUAAAUUAUACUUUAUUUAUAAAUUUACAUAUCGUUGUUUAAAAAAUUUUUUUAGAAAUUUAAUUUUUAAUUAAUUAUUUAAGUUUUAUUUCAAAUCAAGAUAUAGUUAUAAUAAAGUGUUAAUGGGUUACAUUUUAAUUUUAUUUGGAUUUAAAUUUUAAAAAUUUAUUGAAAUUGGAUUUGAAUGUAAAAUUAUAUUUUUAUUAAUUUGACUAAGCUCUAAAAUAUGUACAUAUCGCCCGUCGCUUUCAUUAUAAAAUGAAAUAAGUCGUAACAAAGUAGAUUUAUUGGAAACUGAAUCUAGAAUCAA